rnacentral:tRNA from 1 species
GCCUGACCGGCUCAGUUAGAAGAGCUUGUGACUCUUGAUCUUGGGGUUGUGAGUUCGAGCCCCACGUUGGGUA